CUCGUAGGCGGUUUGACAAGUCGGACGUGAAAACCCGGGGCUCAACCCCGGGACGCCGUUCGAAACUGUCAUGACUAGGGUCCGGUAGAGGUGAGUGGAAUUCUCGGUGUAGCGGUGGAAUGCGCAGAUAUCGAGAGGAACACCAGUAGCGAAGGCGGCUCACUGGGCCGGUACCGACGCUGAGGAGCGAAAGCGUGGGGAGCAAACA
rnacentral:rRNA from 1 species